rnacentral:rRNA from 1 species
UAGGGAAUCUUCGGCAAUGGACGAAAGUCUGACCGAGCAACGCCGCGUGAUGAAGAAGGUUUUCGGAUCGUAAAACUCUGUUGGUAGAGAAGAACGUUGGUGAGAGUGGAAAGCUCAUCAAGUGACGGUAACUACCCAGAAAGGGACGGCUAACUACGUGCCAG